rnacentral:rRNA from 1 species
AGGAAUAAGCAUCGGCUAACUACGUGCCAGCAGCCGCGGUAAGACGUAGGAUGCAAGCGUUAUCCGGAAUUAUUGGGCAUAAAGAGUUCGUAGGCGGUUUGUUAAGUUGGAUGUUAAAUUUUUGAGCUCAACUUAAAAAAAGUAUCCAAAACUGGCAAACUGGAGACUGGUAGAGGUAAGUGGAAUUCUGCAUGUAGGGGUAAUAUCCGUAGAUAUGCAGAGGAACACCAAAAGCGAAGGCAGCUUACUGGACCAGUUCUGACGCUCAAGAACGAAAGCGUGGGUAGCGAACGGGAUUAGAUACCCCGGUAGUCCACGCCCUAAACGAUGAACACUAGGUAUUGGAGGUCUCGACCCCUUCAGUGCCGACGCAAAUGCAAUAAGUGUUCCGCCUGGGUAGUACGAGCGCAAGCUUAAAACUCAAAGGAAUAGACGGGGACCCACACAAGCGGUGGAGCAUCUGGUUUAAUUCGACAAUAAGCGAGGAACCUUACCAAGGCUUGACAUCCCGAGAAGAUCGCCGAAAGGUGAUUGUGCCGUUAGGAACUCGGUGACAGGUGCUGCAUGGUUGUCGUCAGCUCGUGCCUUGAGGUGUUCGGUUAAGUCCGUGAACGAGCGCAACCCUUGUCUCAAGUUGCAUAUUUCUUGAGAGACUGCCGGUUUCAAAUCGGAGGAAGGUAAGGAUGACGUCAAAUCAGCAUGGCCCUUAUGUCUUGGGCGACACAGGUGCUACAAUGGCCGGUACAAUGGGCAGCGAAGGAGCAAUCUGGAGCAAAUCCUCAAAACCGGUCCAAGUUCGAAUUGAAGGCUGCAACUCGCCUUCAUGAGGUGGAAUCGCUAG